GAUGAACGCUGGCGGCGUGCCUAAUACAUGCAAGUCGAGCGAACGGACGAGAAGCUUGCUUCUCUGAUGUUAGCGGCGGACGGGUGAGUAGCACGUGGAUAACCUACCUAUAAGACUGGGAUAACUUCGGGAAACCGGAGCUAAUACCGGAUAAUAUUUUGAACCGCAUGGUUCAAAAGUGAAAGACGGUCUUGCUGUCACUUAUAGAUGGAUCCGCGCUGCAUUAGCUAGUUGGUAAGGUAACGGCUUACCAAGGCAACGAUGCAUAGCCGACCUGAGAGGGUGAUCGGCCACACUGGAACUGAGACACGGUCCAGACUCCUACGGGGGGCAGCAGUAGGGAAUCUUCCGCAAUGGGCGAAAGCCUGACGGAGCAACGCCGCGUGAGUGAUGAAGGUCUUCGGAUCGUAAAACUCUGUUAUUAGGGAAGAACAUAUGUGUAAGUAACUGUGCACAUCUUGACGGUACCUAAUCAGAAAGCCACGGCUAACUACGUG
rnacentral:rRNA from 1 species